rnacentral:rRNA from 1 species
UACGGGGGGGGUAAGCGUUGUUCGGAAUUACUGGGCGUAAAGGGCUCGUAGGCGGCCAACUAAGUCAGACGUGAAAUCCCUCAGCUUAACUGGGGAACUGCGUCUGAUACUGGAUGGCUUGGAUUCGGGAGAGGAAUGCGGAAUUCCUGGUGUAGCGGUGAAAUGCGCAGAUAUCAGGAGGAACACCGGUGGCGAAGGCGGCUUGCUGGGCCUUACCUGACGCUGAGGAGCGAAAGCGUGGGGAGCGAACAGG